UUUCCGUAGGUGAACCUGCGGAAGGAUCAUUAUUGUAUAACCGAGGUGCGAGGGCUGUCGCUGACCCGAAAGGUCGUGCACGCCCGAGUACCCUCACACCCAUCCAUCUUACCCCUAUUUGCACCACCGCGUGGGUCCCCCUUUGGCUUGUUCGGAGGGGGGCUUACGUUUUCACACAAACUUUGUAUGCAGUGUAGAAUGUAUUUUUUGUUUUUGCGAACACGCAAUCAAUACAACUUUCAACAACGGAUCUCUUGGCUCUC
rnacentral:misc_RNA from 1 species